CAAUAGCGUAUAUUAAAGUUGUUGCGGUUAAAAAGCUCGUAGUUGGAUUUCUGCUGAGAACGACCGGUCCGCCCUUUGGGUGUGUAUCUGGCUCUUUCUUGGCAUCUUCUUGGUGAACGUUGCUGCACUUGACUGUGUGGAGCGCUACCCAGGACUUUUACUUUGAGGAAAUUAGAGUGUUUCAAGCAGGCAUACGCCUUGAAUACAUUAGCAUGGAAUAAUAAGAUAGGACCUCGGUUCUAUUUUGUUGGUUUCUAGAGCUGAGGUAAUGAUUAAUAGGGAUAGUUGGGGGCAUUCGUAUUUAACUGCCAGAGGUGAAAUUCUUGGAUUUGUUAAAGAUGGACUACUGCGAAAGCAUUUGCCAAGGAUGUUUNCAUUGA
rnacentral:rRNA from 1 species